rnacentral:rRNA from 1 species
AGAGUUUGAUCCUGGCUCAGAAUGAACGCUGGCGGCGUGCUUAACACAUGCAAGUCGAACGAUGAAGCCUAGCUUGCUAGGUGAAUUAGUGGCGCACGGGUGAGUAAUAUAUAGAUAACGUGCCUCUUAGUCUGGGAUAGCCAUUGGAAACGAUGAUUAAUACUAGAUACUCCUUCUCAUUAUAAUUUGAGUUGGGAAAGUUUUUCGCUAAGAGAUCGGUCUAUAUCCCAUCAGCUAGUUGGUAGUGUAAGAGACUACCAAGGCAAUGACGGGUAGCGGGUUUGAGAGGAUGAUCCGCCACACUGGUACUGAGACACGGACCAGACUCCUACGGGAGGCAGCAGUGAGGAAUAUUGCACAAUGGAGGAAACUCUGAUGCAGCAACGCCGCGUGGAGGAUGACGCAUUUCGGUGUGUAAACUCCUUUUAUAUGUCAAGAAAAUGACGGUAGCA